UAAAAAUAAUAAUUAAUAACGUUGUAAGUAAAAUUAUCUUUCAAAAGUAAAAAAAAAUGUCGAAAAAAUCGUGAACUUGCAAAUUUGGUACGAAAAAAGCAUGAACUUUCAAAAUGCCAUAAAAAUCCUAAACUUUACUUUGACAUUUUGAAAAAUGACCAACUUUCGUUGAACAUGCCGUUUUGGGCAUGAUGUUAAUUUUCCGUUAACGGAACAAUAGCAGAGUUGACUUUUUGUUAAUAGUCUUCAUAAAACCAAACGACGUCAUUUUGAAUUCACUAAAAAAAGAAAGAAAACUGAGCACUUUAGGGAUCGAACCCGUGACCAGAUGAUGAAUUUAUUGAACUUGCAACCAUUGAGCUACAACAUGAUUUUCAUUAUGAUAGCAAAGAGAAAUUUAUAUAUACAAUUACCUAAAAUAACAAAACUAAAAAAAUAUUUAUGUGUAUAUACAAUAUAUACAUAAAAAUAUAUUUAUUACGUAUAAAUAUACACAAAAGAAUCUUUAUUACAAAUAUACGCAUAAAAAUAUUUAUUGCUUAUAUAUUCUUUUAUGUCUAUGUAAUUAACUUUUUUAAAUAA
rnacentral:sRNA from 1 species